UGCACCGUAGAGGAGAGGCCGUCCUCGCCAGUCUCAUAAGCUGGAGAUCGCAAGUUCGAAUCUUGCCGGAGCAUCCA
rnacentral:tRNA from 12 species